rnacentral:rRNA from 1 species
AGGGCUACAGGCAGGUAUGAGGCUGUACGCGGCUGUGCUCUCGGGCCAGUUUUGCGGAGGCUGAAUUAUUUAUUACCCUUGUCUUUUGCGCACUUGUUGUUUCCUGGGCGGGUUCGCCCGCCACCAGGACCACAUCAUAAACCUUUUUUAUGCAGUUGCAAUCAGCGUCAGUAUAACAAAUGUAAAUCAUUUACAACUUUCAACAACGGAUCUCUUGGUUCUGGCAUCGAUGAAGAACGCAGCGAAAUGCGAUACGUAGUGUGAAUUGCAGAAUUCAGUGAAUCAUCGAAUCUUUGAACGCACAUUGCGCCCUUUGGUAUUCCAAAGGGCAUGCCUGUUCGAGCGUCAUUUGUACCCUCAAGCUUUGCUUGGUGUUGGGCGUUUUUUGUCUUUGGUUGCCAAAGACUCGCCUUAAAAGGAUUGGCAGCCGGCCUACUGGUUUCGCAGCGCAGCACAUUUUUGCGCUUGCAAUCAGCAAAAGAGGACGGCAAUCCAUCAAGACUCCUUCUCACGUUUGACCUCGGAUCAGGUAGGGAUACCCGCUGAACUUAAGCAUAUCAA